UUUCUGCUAAUGUGCCAACACCUGAAUAUCUGAAGCAGCUGCUUUCUUCUACUGUUCCCAGAAUCACGGAAUCACAGAGUUGGAAGAGACCACAGGGGCCAUUGAGUCCAACCCCCUGCCAUGCGGGAACUCCAUCAAAGCACACCCGACAGGUGGCCAUCCAGCCUCUGCUUAAAAAUCUCCAAAGAAGGAGACUCCACCACACUCCGAGACAGCAUAUUCCACUGCUGACCAGCUCUGACUGUCAGGAAGUUCUUCCUGAGAGUCAGGUGGGAUCUCUUUUCCUGUAGUUUGAAACCAUUGCUCCUUGUCCUAGUGUCUGGAGCUGUGGAAAACAAACCUGUCCCUUCCUCGACGUGACAUCCCUUCAAAUAUUUUUAAACAUGGCUAUCAUGUCCCUUCUUAACCUUCUUUUUGUACAGCUAAACAUUCCCAGCUCCCUAAGCCGCUCUUCAUAGGACAUGGCUUCCAGACCUUUGACCAUUUUGGUCACCCUCCUCUGGACACAUUCCAGGUGGUCAACAUCCUUCUUGAAUUGAAGGAACCGUCCAAACAGAGGUUGUACAAAUGUGACCCCAAUCCUUCCUGGAAGAACAAUCCAACAUGAGUUAGAGAAUGAGCUAGAAGAUGAAUAUCCAUUCUUGGAGCUAAACUGCUGACCCGCCUGCAGGUCUUCUGAAUCUCUGCAGAACAAUUAAUCAGGAUGCUUCCCUACUGCUCCUCCUCAGGGAGCAGGCAGACCGUCGGUCACAAUGUUGUGCAUGUCUACAGAGAGCAAAAGGAACAAUCAGCAGCAACACCAAACAUUUGGAAAGAAGGUAAUUACAAAGGUGGUGGCUCUGGAGAAAAUAUGUGGUAGCUAUCACAUGAGCCAGACUAAAUUAUGAGAGGAAAUCGAGCUCCAAUAACUUAAAUCUGCUUUUUGGCAGGGGAGAGGCAGAAGCAAGAGACUAGACUGUUCCACUUCAAAGCAAUUUGUGACCUACUGACACAAAACAUUUAUUUUGAUGUUAUGAAGAAAUUGUCAUUUGAAGAAACAUGAAGAGGUAAAACUUUUCAUGGUUGGGAACUAUGUUGCAGCUAGAGCACAGAAAGUUAUUUUAAAAGAGCCAGUUAUAGUUACAUUUUCAAGGGUUUCAAAGUAGUUGCUGU
rnacentral:lncRNA from 1 species